rnacentral:rRNA from 1 species
AGGACGAACGCUGGCGGCGUGCCUAACACAUGCAAGUUGAGCGACGAACCGGGGCUUGCCCCGGGGCAAAGCAGCGAACGGGUGAGUAACACGUGGAUAACGUACCCCGAUAACCGGGACAACCCGAGGAAACUCGAGCUAAUACCGGAUGUGCCCACCACACAUCAGUGUGGUGUGUAAAGGAAGCUUCGGCCUCCGUAUCGGGAGCGGUCCGCGGCCCAUUAGCUAGUUGGUGAGGUAACGGCUCACCAAGGCGACGAUGGGUAGCUGGUCUGAGAGGACGAUCAGCCACACUGGGACUGAGACACGGCCCAGACUCCUACGGGAGGCAGCAGCGGGGAAUAUUGCACAAUGGGCGAAAGCCUGAUGCAGCGACGCCGCGUGGGGGAUGAAGGCUCUCGGGUUGUAAACCCCUUUCAGCAGGGACGAAAACGAGACGGUACCUGCAGAAGAAGCUCCGGCCAACUACGUGCCAGCAGCCGC